CCAUCAGGUUCAGAGGGUUUCUCUUCACUGUCCGUUACUGUUUUCUGGACGUCAGCUUCAACUGGACCAGAAAGCUUUUUCAGAAGUUCUUCAGCCAGUAAACGCUCCUGUGGACCCAACAAAAUGCAAGUUUACCAAUGGUGGAUCGGCAAACCAGGUCUGAGCUGGAGAAAUAAAGGGGUGAUUCCAGACCAAAGUUAGUUUCCAGAACUUUAUGGACCUUCUCAUUGAGAUUGAAAAACAAAUGAGCACUCUUCAAGGGAACUAGAUCCUCCUGGCCAAGAGCUUUGAGAACUGUGAUGUCCUGAAACAUCUCACUUGCUGAAUGAGGGGAGGGUGCUGCUUUAAAACCAUCCUGAAGAGCUGCUGCCUAGAAGUGGAAACAUACAGCGGAGAGGCGAUGAAGUUCCUGACACUCAUCAGACGUGAUGACGCCAUCCAGGACGACUCGCUGUGAACCGUUCAGGGCCGUGGAUGUCAUGGUUACCCUGAUGUCAUCAAACGGGAGUUUGUUGCCAGUUUCCGGAGCAGGUUACCAAUCUCCUCAGUAAUCCUCGCGGCUGUUUCUCUAUCCGCCCUGCGAGCACGAGAGGAAACCGACGUCAGACGGUACCUCUCUGGCUGUAAUGUUGGCAGCUUUUUCAUCUCCCAGCACGGCGGAGUAGUACGCCAGGUUCUGAGCCAUGACCGCAUCCUCAGGGUGGAAGAGCAGCGGUGGAUGCCAGCUCCACGGCACAGUUCUGUUUGCAGCUCAAAACGUGAAGGUAAUGAUCUGUGAUCAAAGCAAAUAUAUACAUGAAUACUUCAAAAAUCCAUAUUUAUGAAACAUUUAGUGUAACAGAAAUACAUACAAGGAAAAGAAAACUCAAAUAAGACUCAAACACCAUGACUUUUCAAAAUUACAUCAAUUAUUAAAUCAAAGAGAAUCUUCUCCAAGAGAAACAAGCACUAUCGGGUGUUGUGAAC